rnacentral:rRNA from 1 species
UAAGGAAUAUUGGUCAAUGGACGCAAGUCUGAACCAGCCAUGCCGCGUGGAGGAUGAAGGUCCUCUGGAUUGUAAACUUCUUUUAUUUGGGAAGAAACCCAUCUUUUCUAAGAUGGUUGACGGUACCAGAUGAAUAAGCACCGGCUAACUCCGUGCCAGCAGCCGCGGUAAUACGGAGGGUGCAAGCGUUAUCCGGAUUCACUGGGUUUAAAGGGUGCGUAGGUGGGCAAGUAAGUCAGUGGUGAAAUCUCCGGGCUUAACCCGGAAACUGCCAUUGAUACUAUUUGUCUUGAAUACUGUGGAGGUCAGCGGAAUAUGUCAUGUAGCGGUGAAAUGCUUAGAUAUGACAUAGAACACCCAUUGCGAAGGCAGCUUACUACGGAGACAUUGACACUGAGGCUCGAAAGCGUGGGGAUCAAACAGGAUUAGAUACCCUGGUAGUCCACGCCCUAAACGAUGAUUACUCGACAUUAGCGAUAUUACUGUUAG